rnacentral:rRNA from 1 species
UACGUAGGGGGCGAGCGUUGUCCGGAUUUAUUGGGCGUAAAGAGCGUGUAGGCGGUCCGGUAAGUCGGCUGUGAAAGUCCAGGGCUCAACCCUGGGAUGCCGGUCGAUACUGCCGGACUAGAGUUCGGAAGAGGCGAGUGGAAUUCCCGGUGUAGCGGUGAAAUGCGCAGAUAGUCGGGAAGGAACACCUAUGGCGAAGGCAGCUCGCUGGGACGUUACUGACGCUGAGACGCGAAAGCGUGGGGAGCAAACAGGAUUGAGAAACCCU